CCUCCUUCUUCCCAAAUAGCUCCUAUCAGAGAGAAGUUGCCUGGCUGGCACAGCAAGCAUCGCCUCUACUUUUCAGGGACAAGGGAGCAGGAAGGAGCUGCACUGAUGGAACACCUGCUGUGUGCCACGUGACAGGAUGUCUCCUAACCCUACAAUGCCUCACUCCUGGCAAGUGCCCAACACUGGACCCCCAACAGGCAGUGACAAUGGGACUCGACCUGCGGUCCCCAUCCCGAAAGCACAUUACUCAAGGUUAAUCACAACAGAAACAGACAUGUCCAGGGAAGGUCCUUCCUGCGGCUCCUAACUAGGACUCCUCAAAAUUCCAAGGAGAUCACCAAAAGAGCUCAACACAGAAGAGGAGAUCUGGAUGGAGUCUCUAAGGAAAGGGCCAGUAAUACGAAUUGCCCUGAUCUGACCUUUACUGUUUACCCUGUACCCGUAAAUAUGUACAAAUCCAACGUGCCAAUCUCCUGCCACUCAAGCUGUGCUAAAACAAACAUGCUUAUUUUAAAAAGCAAAAUUUGGUUAUUCUCACACACAGAAAGUGCAAUCGUUGACCCUUGUACUGCUCGGUUCCCAAGGUACUCUGCCUUUUUUGUAUCUUAGGAUAACCCUGUAGAGUAGGCCCUGACAUGCCCAUUUCACAGACACAGAGACUGAGGCAGCAGACUUGAGAUUUGAACACAGAUCUUCCUGGCAUUCUCAGGGCUGCUUUCCCUUCUCGUGU